AGAGUUUGAUCCUGGCUCAGGAUGAACGCUAGCGGCAGGCCUAAUACAUGCAAGUCGAACGGGUAAAAUCCCCUUCGGGGGGAUUGAGAGUGGCGGACGGGUGCGUUACGCGUAUGCAACCAACCCCCGACGGGGGCACAGCCGGUGGAAACGCCGGGUGAUGCCCCAUGCGGCCAAGGGAGGGCAUCCUCCUUUGGCGAAAGCCUUCGGGCGGUCGGGGACGGGCAUGCGUGCCAUUAGCUGGUUGGCGGGGCGACGGGCCCACCCAAGGCUACGAUGGCUAGGGGAUCUGAGAGGACGGGUCCCCCACACUGGUACUGAGACACGGACCAGACUCCUGCGGGGAGGCAGCAGUAAGGGAUAUUGGGCAAUGGGGGAACCCUGACCCAGCCAUGCCGCGUGAGGGAAUGAGGCCCUACGGGUCGUGAACCUCUUUGCCGGGGACAACCGCGGGAUCGCGAAUCCCGCCUGCGGGUACCCGGCGAAUAAGCAUCGGCUAACUCCGUGCC
rnacentral:rRNA from 1 species